GAUGAACGCUGGCGGCGUGCCUAACACAUGCAAGUCGAGCGAUCUCUUCGGAGAGAGCGGCGGACGGGUGAGUAACGCGUGGGUAACCUGCCCUGUACACACGGAUAACAUACCGAAAGGUAUACUAAUACGGGAUAACAUACGAAAGUCGCAUGGCUUUUGUAUCAAAGCUCCGGCGGUACAGGAUGGACCCGCGUCUGAUUAGCUAGUUGGUAAGGUAAUGGCUUACCAAGGCAACGAUCAGUAGCCGACCUGAGAGGGUGAUCGGCCACACUGGAACUGAGACACGGUCCAGACUCCUACGGGAGGCAGCGGUGGGGAAUAUUGCACAAUGGGCGAAAGCCUGAUGCAGCAACGCCGCGUGAGCGAUGAAGGCCUUCGGGUCGUAAAGCUCUGUCCUCAAGGAAGAUAAUGACGGUACUUGAGGAGGAAGCCCCGGCUAACUACGUGCCAGCCGCCGCGGUAAUAC
rnacentral:rRNA from 1 species